UACGUAGGCAGCGAGCGUUGUUCGGAAUUACUGGGCGUAAAGAGUGUGUAGGCGGUGCUCUAAGUUCGGUGUGAAAUCUCCCGGCUCAACUGGGAGGGUGCGCCGAAUACUGAGAGGCUAGAGUGUGGGAGAGGAAAGUGGAAUUCCUGGUGUAGCGGUGAAAUGCGUAGAUAUCAGGAGGAACACCGGUGGUGUAAACGGCUUUCUGGACCAUAACUGACGCUGGAGGCAACGAAAGCGUGGGUAGCAAACAGG
rnacentral:rRNA from 1 species